rnacentral:rRNA from 1 species
UACGGAGGAUGCAAGCGUUAUCCGGAAUGAUUGGGCGUAAGCGUCCGCAGGUGGCUGUGUAAGUCUGCUGUUAAAUAGUGAGGCUCAACCUCAUAAAGGCAGUGGAAACUACACGGCUAGAGUGCGUUCGGGGCAGAGGGAAGUUCCUGGUGUAGCGGUGAAAUGCGUAGAGAUCAGGAAGAACACCGGUGGCGAAAGCGCUCUGCUAGGCCGCAACUGACACUGAGGGAC